GGUUAAGCGACUAAGCGUACACGGUGGAUGCCCUGGCAGUCAGAGGCGAUGAAGGGCGUGCUAAUCUGCGAUAAGCGCCGGUAAGGUGAUAUGAACCGUUA
rnacentral:rRNA from 1 species